GUAUAACUUAGUGGCAGACGGGUGAGUAAUGUAUAGGAAUCUACCUAGUAGUACGGAAUAAUUGUUGGAAACGACAACUAAUACCGUAUACGCCCUACGGGGGAAAAAUUUAUUGCUAUUAGAUGAGCCUAUAUUAGAUUAGCUAGUUGGUGGGGUAAUAGCCUACCAAGGUAAUGAUCUAUAGCUGAUCUGAGAGGAUGAUCAGCCACACUGGAACUGAGAUACGGUCCAGACUCCUACGGGAGGCAGCAGUGGGGAAUAUUGGACAAUGGGCGAAAGCCUGAUCCAGCCAUGCCGCAGAGUGAAGAAGGCCUUUGGGUUGUAAAGCUCUUUUAGUGAGGAAGAUAAUGACGGUACUCACAGAAGAAGUCCUGGCUAACUCCGUGCCAGCAGCCGCGGUAAUACGGAGAGGGCUAGCGUUAUUCGGAAUUAUUGGGCGUAAAGGGCGCGUAGGCUGGUUAAUAAGUUAAAAGUGAAAUCCCGAGGCUUAACCUUGGAAUUGCUUUUAAAACUAUUAAUCUAGAGAUUGAAAGAGGAUAGGGGAAUUCCUGAUGUAGAGGUAAAAUUCGUAAAUAUUAGGAGGAACACCAGUGGCGAAGGCGUCUAUCUGGUUCAAAUCUGACGCUGAAGCGCGAAGGCGUGGGGAGCAAACAGGAUUAGAUACCCUGGUAGUCCACGCUGUAAACGAUGAAUGUUAAAUAUGGGGAGUUUACUUUCUGUAUUACAGCUAACGCGUUAAACAUUCCGCCUGGGGACUACGGUCGCAAGAUUAAAACUCAAAGGAAUUGACGGGGACCCGCACAAGCGGUGGAGCAUGUGGUUUAAUUCGAUGCAACGCGAAAAACCUUACCACUUCUUGACAUGAAAAUCAU
rnacentral:rRNA from 1 species